rnacentral:misc_RNA from 1 species
UGUGGGAGCUGGCUUGCCUGCGAUCGCGAUGUGUCUGUGCCAGCAGUGUUGGCUGGCAUACCGCUAUCGCAGGCAAGCCAGCUCCCACA